UACGGAGGGUGCAAGCGUUAUCCGGAUUCACUGGGCUUAAAGGGUGCGUAGGCGGGUUGGUAAGUCCGUGGUGAAAUCUCCGAGCUUAACUCGGAAACUGCCGUGGAUACUAACAAUCUUGAAUAUCGUGGAGGUAAGCGGAAUAUGUCAUGUAGCGGUGAAAUGCUUAGAUAUGACAUAGAACACCAAUUGCGUAGGCAGCUUACUACACGAUCAUUGACGCUGAGGCACGAAAGCGUGGGGAGCAAACAGG
rnacentral:rRNA from 1 species